CUAGGCACCGCCUCCUCUCGAUGCUCCUGUCCUGGGCGCGCAAUGGAAACCGGCUGCUGGUUGCUUGGCGGCGAGUUCGAGGACUCGGUGUUCGAGGAGAGGCGGGAGAGGCGGCCUGGACCGCUUGCGUCCUACCGCGCCAAGCUCUGCGAGCCGCAGUGGUUUUAUGAAGAAACGGGGAGCAGUGAUGAUGUUGAAGCUCUGACUAUCCAGAAAUUCAAAGGGGACCUGGCCUACAGACGGCAGGAGUAUCAGAAAGCACUGCAGGAGUAUUCCAGUAUCUCAGAAAAACUGCCGUCUACGAAUUUUGCCAUGAAAAGGGAUGUCCAGGAAGGCCAGGCUCGGUGUCUCGUUCACCUGGGGAGGCACGAGGAAGCCCUGGAGAUUGCUACAAACUUGGAAAAUAAGGCAACUAACACAGACCAUUUAACCACUGUGCUCUACCUCCAGUUUGCUAUUUGUUCAAGUUUGCAGAACUUGGAGAAAACAAUUUUCUGCCUACAGAAACUGAUUUCUUUGCAUCCCUUUAAUCCUUGGAACUGGGGCAGAUUGGGAGAGGCUUACCUGAAUCUGGAGCCAGUGCUUGCAGCAUUGCUUGCGUCAUCUCAGAAACAGAACAGUUUCACCUCGAGUGACAAGGCUAUCAAAUUCUCUUGUCCCCACUCAGGAAAAGACUGUCUUUUGUGUUUCCCUGAAAUGUUGCCCGAGAGCUCUGCGUUAUCUGUGGAAACGAGCAGUGGUAAUAACCAGAAGAAUGAGAAAGCUUUAAAAAAUAUUCAAAACUGUAUGGCAGAAGAGAGAGCAGCAGUGUUGCUAGAAACUCAGAUGAAAGCCUGUGCCUCUUUUAUACGAACCAGGCUUUUGCUUCAGCUCGCCCAAUCUCAGCAAACAUCGUUUGCUUUGGAGAGGAACUUAAAGACUCAGCAGGAAAUUGAAGCUAAAAUGAAAGGGUUCAGCUUCAAAGAAGACACUUUGCUGUUGAUAGCAGAGUCCCCCCACCCCAUGGCCAAGGAGACGCAGACUCCGCCAUCACUACCUGGCUGGUCCGGGUGAUGCAGCGGCGGAUGAGGUCCCUGAUGUUGUUGCGCUUGUCCGUCUGGAAGUACACGGUGACGCUGGACUUUUCCUUCAGGUAGGGCUUCUCAGCUGAGGCCCAGGUGUGCAGCAAGGUCGGCUCGCUGCCCUCUGAGGCCACAGGGAAGUAGGUACUUGAGGCCACGGAGCAGGAAUCGAGUCCCUUGGAACCUGCUGCGGCCUCUCCUGGGGGCUCCGGGGCAGAGGGGGGCUCCUUGGCCUGGGCCUGGAUGUACUGGGCCUCCACCGAGGACAAGAAGUCCACCUCGCCUUCCUGGCUGAGCACCCGCCAGUAGGCCUCGGGGCCCCCAUCCAAGAGGGCAUCUGUGGCCAGCCGGGCACUCUCAUUGUCACUGAAGUCAGCCCUGGCUGGCCGGACCCACUGGCUCUUGACCUCUUCCAGGCGUUUCUGGAUCUUGCCCACGUGUCUUGCCCCGCUCAUGCUGCCCUGUCCCUGAGUCGUGUGGGGGGCAGCCGGCACCCGAGCUCUUCCUGAUGUCAGGGGCAAGCGGGCCACACCACCCAGGAGGAGCGGGGCUCACAGCACUUCUGGAAAGCACCCACUCCUAGCACUGUUGUGCGGCCAGCAUCCAGGGUUACCUGCUCCAAGGUAAUCCUGCCCUCCUGAGCAAUGCUUCACCGGGAUCAUCACCCACUGCCAGGGGUUGGUUUAUCUCUGAGCGACACCUGCCCUGCCCGCGGGCCAAGAGGGCUGGCUCUAUCACGCCUGGGCACACUCAGCCCUGGGAGACUUCUUCUCCCAGCAGCCAAGGUGAGCCAGCUUUCCAGCUUGUUGUGCAAUUCUCCCAAGACCCUCAGGCCCCAUUUACAAAGCAAGCAGCCUCUCCCAGCACAGUCACCGCUGUGCCUCAGGUCCCCUCCUGUGCUCCUCACUUCAGACGCCAGUUGGUUCAGAGACAGUUUCCCUGAUGGGCCCCUGAGAUCUGCCAUCCAUCCUGUGCCCAUGUGAGGAGGGAAGCUGGAUGCCCCCCAGGCAGCACUGUUCACCAGGCACUGCUCCUUUCUCUUGGUAACACCCCCAAGUUCCCAGCCCUCCCCAUUCUUUGGAAAAGCCUUCUUUCCCAUCUCUCUUCCCUUAUUGUGUUUGCAGCGGUCAUGCUUGAACAGAACCCCCAGAGAGGUUCCAUUUCUGGGGCCGGUGCUGAUCUGUUGGAAGCGGCGGCUGCUUGGAAUACUAUCUGGAGAAGAAUCUUCGGCUGUGUCCGGGCCCACGGACCGAUGGGAUCAGUCCGUCUUGGUGUUGGUGGGGCAGGUGGCCGCAGGCGUGUUUGAAGUAGAUGAACUGCUAAGGGAGAAGCCACUUUUUCUUUCCAGGUCAGGCCAUGGUCAAUUCCACGUCAAUGGAAUGCAAAACCUAGAGUCCCGAUGUUACUGAAUCAGGUCUGACUGCUUGACGCACAAAAAUCAAUACUCCAGAGAGAGACAAAAGCCGGUGAAAAGGAAAGCUGCCUUUAAUCAGAGUGCUGGCAAUCUGGGGAAAUGGACCCAGUGUCCCCAGGACCCACCUCCCAAAAUUCUGCUCCGCCGUGGAGUUUGUAAAGGGAAAAGGGGAAGUAAUCUCAAUCAUUGACAUAGGGAGUCAGAGUCGUUGCCAUCCCUCCCCGUGUGCAGGCUUGUCGGCUCCUUGUGGUUCUCCCUUAGGUGCUCUCUUGUUCACACGGUUUGUUCGUGAGAUUGCUGAAAGAAAAGCUAGGGAAGAGAUCUGGUCAUCGGCUGAUUACUUAUUCUUCAUUGCUAAUUUGAUCUAUGGAAAGAACCAACAGAUUAGACAAGGUGUGGUGUGAUCAAAAGAUUUGAAAGGUGUGCUAGGGCCGGAGGUGAGUAGGGCAUGGGGCGCCUGGUUUGAGGUUAGUGAUAGGACAAAGGGGCCUCCUGCAGAGAGCUCUUUCCUGCCCAAAGCUGCUUACACGGACUGCCUUUGAUUGGGUUCUUCCAGAAACAGACUAGGAUUCGAGUACAAGUAGCUAACUGGGAGGUGAUCCCAAGAUGCUCUGGUAGGGGAGCAGAGGAGUGAGACAGGAAGGUGGGGGGAAGCUGCUCGGGGCAGGGUACGUUAAGGAGCAUGUCACCAUUGUGGACAUCUGGGAUUUGUGAACAUCUGUGGGAACGUCUGGGCUCUGGUCCUGCCGGGGACCUCCAGGAGAUGGUAUAGAAUAUAUCUCAGACUUUUCCUACCCAAAGGCUGAGAAAACUGCAGAAUCUAUCUACCAACCCCCACUGAUCGUUGGUCCAGGGCUGCUUCUGGGGCUGCAUUAGUUCCCCAGCCCUACUGGCCGGUUCUGUGGGCUCACCAAGCACAGCCCUGGAGCCCGAGAAAGCCUGCAGGCAGAGGUCACAGGCGCAAAGGACAAGCUAACGAGGUAAGAGCGGGGCCCUGACAAUAUCCGCUAUGAGAAUUAUGGCAGGAGACUAGGAUUGAGUGGUCUUCAAACAGCUGGCACGUGGUAAGAGCCAGAUGCCUCUCUGCGGCACAUCUAUCUACUCUUUGGAGGACAGUGCUAUAUAUAAGCAUCUGUAACCCCACAAAAGCUGUGGAGGGAGGCUGUCUGGAAGUAGAGCAGUGUUUUUAAACGCACAGUCCAAGAAAGAGAAAGGGGAUUUAAAAGGGAUUUCUUCUCUUUUGAAGGAUAUAGAAGGAAUCUAAUUCAAGACCUCGGGCACCGUUCCCCUUAUUCCACUUUAUCUCCUUCCACAGGGCCUGGACCCUUGAUGGGGACAAAGCUAAUACCCUCUCUGUCUUUGGUGCCCCUGGCUCCGCACGCCCUCCCUUCUGCCAGCUCCCUGCUUGUGCAGAUUGACUUCGCCUCUUGCCCACAUUCUCCUUGGACCUUCCCUCCUCUCCAUCUCCUCUGGGUCCUCAGCCCACUCUCCAAUCUGUGUCAUCAAAUCCAGUCCCCAGUCUGGUGAGGGGAUAAUAAUCCGUGGGAUUUGUGCUGGUUCCCUCCGAGGCUCAGAAGCUGUGGAUGGCUCGCAGUUGCCUGGCACGUUGAGCACCAAGUCUCGAGCCUAGCCUUUGGGGCCCUGCAUGUCUGUGACCUGUGUGAACAUUGCAGCCUGACCUCUCCUCCACUUGGCCGUCAUCGAGUCCUCCCUGCACGCUGGCUCUCUGAGCUAAGGGACACAUGGAGGAUGAGGCUUCGUCUCACAGAUGAGGCGCUGUGGAUUAUGGACAACUUACUUCCCUUCUUCCAUCCUGUGACCUGAAGUGUAGUCUCUCUGACUCAUGAGGAUACUGACAAAGAGCUUGUAGGAUCUUAGUUCCCUGACCAGGGAUCAAACCCAGGCCCAUGGCAGUGAAAGUGCUGACUCAUAACCACUGGACCACCAGAGAAUUCCCAUGUGCAAAGCCAUUAUAAAUGCAAAUAUGAGAGCUUUUAACUUGUAUGUAGAAUCACUGAAAUUACAUGGUCUGUAUUUCAUUUAUACAUGCAUGUGUAUUUUGUUCUUAUCGGAAAGUGGAAAUGCUGCAGGUGGCCAAAUGAUCAGAACCCGCCCAAGGUGGCCAUUGGGCUGCCAGGUGAAUCAGGGCUCUCCCUCCGAGCUGGGCUGGGAAACUCUUCCUCUGGUUUUUUUCUUCUGAAAAUAACUCUAUUGGCUUUUGCUUUUGUUUUGUGAAUAUUAUGGGUUCAUUAUAAAAAUUUGGGGAAAACAAGCAAAAAUAAAUAAAAUGCAUUAAAAUGAAAGAAAAAAAUCAAACAUCUUCCAUAGCCACACCAUUAGACAUUGUAAUUUUUUAAAUAUAAAUUUAUUUAUUUAUUUAUUUAUUUUAUUUUGGCUGCGUUGGGUCUUCGUUGCUGUGUGCGUGGGCUUUCUCUAGUUGCAGCGAGCGGGGGCUACUCUUUGUUGUGGUGCACGGGCUCCUCAUUGCGGUGGCUUCUCUUGUUGCAGAGCAUGGGCUCUAGGCACGCGGGCUUCAGUAGUUGUGGCAUGUGGGCUCAGUAGUUGUGGCUCGCGGGCUCUGGAGCACAGGCUCAGUAGUUGUGGUGCAUGGGCUUAGUUGCUCUGCAGCAUGUGGGGUCUUCCUGGACCAGGGCUCAAACCCGUGACCCCUGCAUUGGCAGGUGGAUUCUUAGCCACUGCACUGUAAUUUUUAACAUUUUCUUGUGUGUUGUGGCAACAAGGUAGAUUAGAUCCUGCAGAACCCACCGCAGUCUCCCUCUCAUGUGCUUUCCCAUGGCAUCUGGGAAGCUCAAAACUCUUUUUCCCAGGCCUCCCAAAAGCAGAGCUCUGCAUGGAACCCAAGCUCUGACAGGCAGCAGCAUCCUCACAUGACUUGGAAGGUUUUUCUGUGGCAGCAGCUUAAGCAGACAGGAACACUGAUGCUAGUCCAAGGCGUCAGAGGUGGAGAACGGUGGCAGCAGGAAGGCUUCCACUGGAGCAGUCCAUGAGAAAUGCAAUGUUGUACAAGAUUCCCACUUGCACCCCUCUUUGUUGCUAGUGACUUAAAAAGACCAUAAGGAUGAAUCAGCUCACUGUGGCCAGCUCCCUGCUUCCCUUCAAUGAGCAAAGCCCUGCUCUGUGGCACAAACCCUACGUUUGAAAUACAGGUGCAGGAAUAGAUGUUAGUGACAGGAUUUGAAAGGAUUGCUGUGCAAGCAGCCCAGCCCCUGGAUGCCUGCCAACUUCAGGCCGGAGCCACGACACCCAUGAGCUCUGUGAUGAAGGUGGCCUCAUGGCUCUGCAUCUCAGCACUGCUUGGGGUGCCAGGACAUAUACCGUGACCUCUGCCAUUGCCAUUACACCUGCUGGAACUGUGGGCAAAACCACUGCCCUGUUCCAGGUCUGAACCUGGAAGGGGCAGGCCCAGUUCCUUGUGGCCCCAGGGCUGCUGGGACCACACCUACCGCCACCUGUCUCACCUGUCAGAGGGGGUGGGGUGGGAGGGCGCUGAGAGGUGAGUGCUGUAACCCUUUCCUCUCCUCUGGCUAGGGGACCUCGCUGUAUGUGGAGCAUGGGAGAUGGACCUGAAUAUGUUUCUGGCCAGUUCAUGGAAAGGCCUGCUUGGUUAUUGAAAUCAGAGCCUGCCCAUCUUUGGAACUAGGAAUGAGGUCUUUGAUCAGGCUAAAAUUUGGGGAUCUAGAAAUGAACCCACUGCAGUGUCUGCCCUCAAGGAAAGACAAGCAAAUACAGUAGAAUGUGAGAAGCCUUUUCUGUCAUCAUCAGAUGUUCAAGGGCCCACCAUGGGCUCUGCAGAGCCUAUAGCAUGACCCCCACUGUGGCCAUGCCUACAGUCCAGUGGGAAAGACGGCAAAUGAAAAGUCAUGACAUUGAGCUGGGAUGAGUGUUAAGGUCAGAGAAGCAAGAGCCAGGAGCGUAGAGAGCGGGGGUGGUGGUGGGGGGUGGGGGUGGGGUUGGGGGUGGGGGGGUGGGGCUGACCUAGCCUGGGGUCAGGAGGCCUGUCUGAGGUCCCGACAGGUUGGAGGCAUUAGCUGGGGGAGGUGGGAGGGAAUGGGUGCCCCAGGGGUGCAGGGGUUGGGUGUGUGCUGGGGGGCACAAGAGUGGGAAGAGGUGAGCCCAGAGGUCAGACCCUGGUGGGAGGGAGCACGGCAAGAGGAUUUGGGUCUUUAUCUCAUGGAUGUGGGAGCUACAGAAGCUGUCACGCGGACAGAGAGGAGGCCAGACAAGCGUUUUCUGUGACGGCUGCCUCUGGCCUCAGUGUGGCAAGAACACAGCCCCUCAGGGAACAUCCUGGCAGUCAGGGGCGAGGCCCUCUUCCUCCUGGGUGCUCUGUCAGCACGGCUCAGAGCAGUGACUCUCAGAAGCUUCCAGCAACUGGCUGACUCAUGCGGUGGCGGCUGCUCGCCCAGUCAAAGAUGGAGCUGGAAGGGCCAUGGCCUGGCGCUGCCCGGGACAGAUGGCAAAGACGUGCCAGCUGCUCCCUGCAGGGCGUUUCUGAGGAAAACCCCCUCCCGCCCCACGCGCGGCCUCCGCUGCCUCCCUGAACUUGCCCAGCUGGCUGCGCCCUGGCUUCUGGCUUGUCACAGCCAGAAUAACCAGAUGGGACCUGUGGGCCUGCGGCCAAAACCUGCCACGUUAUCGAGUCCUGGCUGGGAAGGGGUCAGGUCUGGGAAACCUCUGCCCCCUCUCAAAGCACCGUGGGAGAAUCCACACCCCAAACCGGUCCCUUCUCUCCAGCCUCCUUCCUUCACCAGUAAGCUUUCUCCUUACUUAGCCUCUUGACUCCCUCUAUAUUUUCAAUUUUUAUUUAUUGACUUUUGUAAGCAGAGGGAACUGGAAAGGAGCUGAGAGUCACAGUGAGCCUGAUUCUGAAGCCCACUCACCCCGACUUCCCUCCCACUGGACCAGUGACUGCAGGGGACUGUGCAAAGACCGUGGGCUGUGGUCAGGUCGGGUGCCACCCACAAUCUGGCUGUGACCCCUGCCAAGCAGAUGGAGACCAUGACCCGUGGGGGAGGAUGGAAGUACAGGGAGAGGUCAGGGGUGAAAAGAAAAGCUCUUAACAGCGGCAACUGCCCUAGCACAGGCAAACGCCCAGAACCUCUGGUCUUCACCCUCAGAUAAAUGGAAAAUUCCUCAUGUGCUCCCUGCGGGGUGAAACAGCAAACCCACCUGAAUCCAGGACAGAACAGAUUUUUCAGCUGCCCACAAGCUCCUCACAUGUCCAUUGUUAAAGGUGUACAAGAAUGUUCGCUACAGUAAUUGUUACUAAUUGGGAAGAAUUCGAUGUUCUAGAAUUAGAAGACCUAGAGCAGCUUGGGCUGCGAGGACAAAGUACCACAGGCUGAGGGUGGAGGGGUCAGGGGUGGGGUGGGGCUUAAACCACGGUAAUUUGUUCUCUCGCAGUUCUGAAGGCAGGAAGGCCGAGAUCAAGGUGUUGGAAGGGUUGGUUUCUUCUAAGCCCUCCCUCCUUGGCUGGCAGACGGCCACCUUCCUUCUGAGUCUUCAUGUGAUCUUCCCCCGGGCAGGUCUGCAUCCUAAUCUCCUGUUCUCAGAAACAGUUGCACUGCAGUUACAAAGAACAAGGAAGAUCUAUAUGUAUUGACAGGGAAAGAGUUCCCAGCUUAUUGUUAAGUGGAAAAAGUAAGUCACUGGACAAUAUGAUACUGAUAUCAGUGGUUCCCUCUGGAGAGGUAACAGGAUUGGGGUAAUGGUGGGGUGAGGGAGACAUUUAUGUGUGUAAGUCCGUGCAGAUAUUGGAUUAUUGUUCUCAAUUCUUCACUCCCCUCCUUGCCCUGGCUUUGCAGCUUCUCCCCUGUGGGCUGGGUAUAUCUCCCUGGCCCGUGGAUGUUGAACUUGGCCAGGUGACUUGGUUUGGCCAAUAGAAUUUGGAUGGAGGUGCCCAGAGCAGAGGACUUAAAUGUGCUUGCUUGGUAUAGUUUGGUCUCUCAGGCUUCUGUGACCCUCAGUGAGAAGAAGGCACCCCAGGAAAUGGCUGACCAUGAAGACUACAGUCUUUAAGACUGAACUUCCUGCUGCCAAUGGAGACCAUGAAGACGUGACAAGAAGGGCCGAACCCAACCACAGCCUGGCACUAGCCCAGCCGACAACACACCUGUGAGCAAGAAAAACACAUGCUUACCUGGAAAACAUUAUGCUGAGUCAUUAAGCCAGACACAAAAGGACGAACAUCGUAUGAUCCCACGUAUAUGAAAUAUCUAGAAAAGGCAAAUUCACAGACAGAAAGUAGAUUAGAAGCUACCAGGGGAGGAGAAUGAGGGGAGAGAGGGGAAAGAAGGGCUAUUACUUAAUGGGCACAGAGUUUCUGCUUGGGGGGAUGAAAAGGUUUUGAAAACAGAUGUUAUGAUAGUUGCACAACAUCGCAAAUGUACUUAAUGCCACUGAAUUGGACACUUAAAAUGGUUAAAGUGGUAAAUUUUGUGUUAUGUAUAUCUCAUACCACAAUUUUAAAAAAUAAUAAUGUAAUAUACCAAAAAUACAUUGAAUUGUACACCUUACUUUUAAAAAUUUUUAUUUAUUUUAUUUACUUAUUUUCCUUAGGCUGUGUCGGGUCUUAGUUGUGGCACACAGAGUCUUUGCUGAGGCAUGCAGGAUUCUCUCUAGUUGUGGUGCGGUGGCCUCGCAGCAUGUGGGAUCUUAGUUCCGUGACCAGGGAUUGAACCCACGUCCCCUGAAUUAAAAGGCAGAUUCUUUACCACUGGACCACCAGGGAAGUGCCUGAAUUAGAUACAGUUUAAACAAGUAAAUUGUAUGGCAGGAGAAUUAUAUUUCAAUAAAGCUAUUCAAAAAGAAA